GCUGACUGCCACUGGGGAAGGGUCUCUUGCUGGAAAUCUCUCCUUUGAGAAGCCUUUCCUGUGAACUUAGAUCUUUGGAUACAGAUGUCAUCUAGAAGAUGUUCUCUGGCAUCCAAGGAUGUGAUUCAUUUCUAACAUGAAGCAGAAUGUGAAAUAGGCCUACAAGCAAUGCAACAAAUGUACUACUUUACAAAAGUAAUAUGAAUACCUGAGAUCCAUUAAAACCAGCCCAGGUCUGCGUGUGGUAUGCAGAUAGGACAAUUUCAAUGCUGAGUAAAUUGUUUUGGGACUACUGAAGUUCUGAGAAGAACAUUCCUGUUGGCUUCUGGCAGUGGUAGUGCUGGGUGGGGUUUCUCACUAUGUAAGCACUUCCUUUGCAGUCUGAGAUUAAGGUGUUGAAAUAAAAAUUCUGUUUACAGUAUAAUGCAGUGGUGACUGCUGAGAGUUACUGAAUCCAGUGUGCGUUUUUGAAGUAACAUCCUAAAUUUCCUGGGUACGUUUCUCAUUUCUAGCAUGUUCUAGUUGGCUGGUACCUGGAGCAUUUUCCAUUUUCUGCUGACAUAUUUUCACUGCAAAAUAACUGU